AUGUAAAUGAUAUUUUCCAUAUGCUAUACCUGAGUGGACAGCCUUGAAGCUAACGUUAGCAUCUUUCUGAUCAUUGUUACCGUCACAUUAGCUAUAGGCGAAUCUUUUGUGACGUCAGUGUUUACCUUUUGCCGCAUUGCAUCACGGUAUUGGGUGGCAAGAAGCUGCAUCUGUUAGCUGGAUUUCUUUGCGUUUGGAGUUUGAGGGCGAUCUACUACAUGGUUCACUCGUGUUGUGUGAUUGGCUGUACGGCUCGUUGGGGGCCCAACAAAAAGUUUUUCCGCAUUCCCACCGAAAAAGACCCCGAAAAAGAAGGAAAUGGUUACGUGCUAUGAUACGUGCUUUGAUACCUGCAAGCCUCACUGGUACACGCAGCUGUUGUGAGUCCUAUCCUGACCGCUGUUUCUACUUUAAACAUUAAAGCUGCUACAUGACUGCAUGUUUCUCCUACACUGGAUUUGAAAGAAAAAUUUUGUAAGAUGUUAUUAUCGUUUUUCACGAUAGACCAAACGCCAUUUAAAUUAUAGUUAACAGGACCAAUAAAAUUGAAAAACAGUCAUUAGAUUUAAAAUGAAAAAUUCAAAGGCACUGAUAAAUAAAGCCUUACCCGGCUUUGCAGUCGCAGUGACAUGUGAUUAUUUCACGUUUUCUUGGGCGAUCACCCACGGAAGAUGCGAAUCACGCUGUGACUCUGCUUGGCCGGGUCUGACCUCCGCUUUGAGCACGACCACUGAUUUUUGUUUCACCGAAAAGAUUGGCCCAACCUUUCUUGAAACAAAAUAGUUAUAAGCUUCGAGGCUUUUAAAAGCUUUUAACUUCUCGUGGGUGAAGGGUCCAGGGCUUUCAACUAAAUAAGAAUAAAUAUCUCCCCAGCACAUCUGUGGCCAAGAUGCAGGUGAGUCAGACCAGUAUUUUUCGUCAUCCCAGACUUCAUAUGGGCUUUGUAUUUGUUCGAUUUUGUCUGCAACACAAAUUUUUAGUUUCUCUCUAAACCUCCUCUGGUCUUCGGAGCUUAGCGUACUUAUAUAAUUUGGAUUUCGCCCGCUUACUUUCUUGUUUAUGCUAGCAGGUUCCGCCAUCUCAACAGGUCUUCUUGCCACCCAACCACACGCGCAUGCGCAAAAAGAUGUAAACAAAGAUUCGCCUAUUGUUAGUACAUAUUUUCUUGUGUGGUUUUAUGACUGAUGGCAGCAGGGUACCUUUGUUUUACAGCUUAACUUGUUUACACGCGUUUAUAGUCAAAGCGUUUUCUCACAUGUGUUUAGUCAGUUAUCUGUGUUGCUCUUUGCUGAUACACGUUCAUAAACUUAUUUGUGAUUUGAAUGCGGUCAAACUGCUGUAUGCUGCCAUGUUUAUUUAUUUAUUCAAAUAAAUAAAUACAAUACACUGAAAUAGAUAAAUAAACACUUUAUUUACUGUAUUAUUUACUGCAUUCACUUAGUGCAAUCAGACUAGGCAGAUUCAAAUUUAAAAAAUCGGGCCUAUUUCCAGUUUGCUUCCUACCAACCUGCAGGUUGAACAAACCAAUAAUUGGCCAGAUGAUGACAAGUUGAGUGACAUGUAGUCAUGAAUCAGAGGCACAAAAACUUUGACAGUGGUCUCCAGUCAUUGUGUUUACCAAUACAUUUUCCCCAUUUGCUUUGAAAUAUUAUAGAUCGGACCAAAAAUUCUGAGAAUACAUAGCACAUGAUCGGUCCUGAUUUCUGAUCACAUGAUUGGAUUGGGACAUCCCUACCAGAGAAUAGGAUGACUGACUAUAGAUAAAUUACAUUUUGUGUGUAAGAAGUUUUGGUAAAUGGUUAUUUGUGAGCUGAGCUUUUAUUAGCCUUGGACAGAGCUAGGCUGACUGUGUUUCUCCUGUUUCCCCAUAUAUGUGUGAGAGCUGCUUGUAUUGAUGUCAUUCCUGUGAAAAAAGGAGACUGGCCUGGACAAAUUUAGAAGAAAAGUGGCACAUUGUUGGCUUUGCCUGCAGUGCUAAGUGGCUUGUGGAUCACAAGGAAGACAGAUCCUGUUGUAAUUGUGCCAACCUGAAAUGGACAAUCAGAGGUAUUUCAGGAGGCCCCAGCAUCAAGCAAGUAAACAGGCAGUUUGAAAUGAUCAGACAACAGUUUCUCUGGCACAGUAUGUAUUGCCCACAAUGAAUGUAUCCUACAAUGUUCUUUUAUGUUUGUUUAAUUUGCAAGAAGUAAUUACAAAGUUUAAUGGCCACAAUUUAAGUUCAAAUAUUGUUGAUUGUCUUCAUAAGUUGCUCCUGUGCUUCAUAAUUGUGGAGCGGGGUCUAGUAGCUAAUAAAUGAACAAGUACUGUCACAUGACCAGGAAGUAAAAGCUCAAGAGGCACUUUACAAAACGUUUUUCAGCAAAAUGAAGGUUUUUGUUGGCGAUCUGGACUGUCACUUACAUGUGAACAGGGGGUGGGGCAAGAACGCAGCCUUUCGAAAACUGGUUACGAGUAGAGAAUUCUAAAAACGCUGGGUUAUCUAUAGUCGUGUAAAGGGAAGGGCAAAGACCAAUUUGAAAACAUAGGCAAAUAACAAGUGUUCCAUUGCUCAGCAUGAAACAUUGGUACAACAAGGUAUAAAAAACCUGAAUGAAUAAAUACAAAUUAAAGAAAAAACAAAUUAGGUCAAUCACAGCAGCAUGACAUAACUGCAAAGGCCUGCCCAUAGAGUUAAGUUUUACGCAUGGAUAUAAAAACUGGUAGCGAAUUUGUCUGCCUGACGUCUUCUGGCAACAAGUUCCAGAACUCGGGCUCUGAGGGAUAAAGCUCAAGAUAGACAGACAGAUACUUACCAGUUCUUUUAUGUGAGAAAGGACACAUUUAAAUGUAUGCUUGUGAUGACUUUGGAUUAUAUGAAUAUAUAUGUAAAAGUAUUAACAUGGAUGUUCUUGAUAAACUUCAACCACGUACAUAUGACAACCUUUACAGUGAAUAAUGGGGAACUAAAAUUACCACAAGUGCUCACUUCAGGGGAUACUCUAUCUGGUGGCGGAAAUGAGUAACUACAGCUCAAGAAAUAAAAUCCAAAAUCAUCACAAGCAUACAUUUAAAUGUCUCCUCUCUCACAUAAAAUAACUUGUAAGUAUGUUUACAUGUAUCUGUAUGUAUUACAUGUAUCUCAUGCUGCUGUGAUUGACCUAUUUUGUUCUUACUUUAAUUUGUAUUUAUUCAUUCAGGUUUUUUUAUAUCUUGUUGUACCAAUGUUUCAUGUUGUACAGUGGAACACAUGUUAUUUGCCUAUCUGGUUUUGUCUGUACUCUGUAAAGCACUUGGUAACCUUGUUUAGAUAAGUGCUAUCUAUCUAUCUAUCUAUCUAUCUAUCUAUCUAUCUAUCUAUCUAUCUAUCUAUCUAUCUAUCUAUCUAUCUAUCUAUCUAUCUAUCUAUCUAUCUAUCUAGAGCUUUUAUUCUGACACUUUUACUUCCUGAUCAUGUGACAGUCCGUAUUCAUUCAUUAAACAAUUACAGUAAAACCACAAAAUGAAAUGUACAUAAACAAUUUCAGCCUUUAUUUUGAAAUUCGUUUACUCGUUUUUGGUUUCCUCCAACCCAAAUGAAAACUUUAAAAACGUGCUGUUCUCUCGUUUUUUUCAUUUUUUGGUUCAAAACGACAAAAAUGUGCCAUUUGUCCAUUUUUCAAGCAGUUAAAUCCUACCUGACAACAAUUUAUACUCUCCUACCUGACCCAACCACACAGCUUAAUCCAUCAGAGACAUUUAGCUCUGCUUAGAUGUGGUUUAGCAAACAAUAACACAGUAUGAUGGACACCAUGACAGCUCCUCAAAUGAAGCCAAAACAUCUUAAUCACCUCCUGGUGGCUGUGUUCUGGUUGAACACUAAGAAAAACUCCAAGUAGACAUACUUUCUUUUCAAAAGAUGGUUUCUAUCAUUAUAGGUAGUUCUUAUGCUGAUGUUACUUAUAGGUGAAAAUAGUUUGUAGUUGGAUACUUUUAACAGAAUUCUCUGAGUUUCUCUUUCCAGUUUUGCCCUGCAAUUGUAGAGGUAUAGUCAUGUCAUAGUACUUGUAGAGUACAGGAGCAACUACUGAAGAAGAAGCUGAACAAUAUUUUGGUCUUGCAGUUUGGACAUAAAAGUUAUGAAUAUCAGUAGGAUAACAUUUUUGUAGUGUUUACUGAUUGUAAACAUGGCCUGUGAAAAGAGCAAAAUCUGCAAUGCUUUUCUGUUAGUAUCUAUGGUCCAUCUAUCCUCCGCAAGAAAUAUGCAUUUUUAUACCUUAUCAUGCAAGUAUUCAUGGUAUUCAAAAAUGAAAAGUCCCAGGUUUGCAAUUUUUCUUUGGUCUCCAGGUGUCAGGUUUUGAUGUUUAUAAUAGAUUGUUGCUUAUGUCCAUGCAGUAGAACAGGAGGGAACUUUCCAGAGUUACUGGAUGGGUGGAGCAGGGAGCUAUGUGGUUUCUAUGAUUAGGGAUCAUGACUGAAUACACAUUAAAUGGGCCCAUGGUUAAAGAUAUGGAAAUAUUCCUAUUUAUUUUUUUUUUCCUAUAAAACAAGUCAGUCUUAACCGUCUUGGUGUGUAAUGACUUACUAUCCUUGUUGUUCUGUCAAAUGAAGAUUUUUAAUGAAAUUUGUUCAGUUUUUCUAAAAUGAAUGUUUAGUACCCUAAAUUUGCAGAUGUAUCUUUUAAUAUAUAUGUUAAUGCAUUGUGGUGUGUUCCAUUGUCCAAUUCUUUAAAAUAACUAAUACUGUAAAUGUGCAGAAAUUCCUAUUUGAAUAAAAUGUACAUAUUUUCUUUAAAAAUUGUGCCAUUGUUUUUUUGUUUUUUUUUUACUUGGGGAGACCACAGUUACACAGCAAGUCAGUAGAUGGAUAUGACAGUUUCAGGAAAUUACUACUAAAUAUGCUUAAUUUACAGGGCUUGGCCUUAAAUGUAGCCAUUUUUGAUGUAUUGUAAUAUAUUUAUCUUGUUUUUCCACUGUUCAAUGGUUGUUUUAUUUUAAUCUACUAUUCUCUAAAAUGACAGAUUAAUACUAUAAAUUUGCAGACAUUUAUCUUUAGUUUAAUGAACUGUUUGUUUUUAUACAUUAUACCUUGUUAUUGUAUAUGGGAAAAUAUUAUUUUAACAUGAAAUUACUCUAGAUAAACAUGGCUAUUUCCUAAAAUAUAUAAUUUGUACCGUGAAAUUACAGAGAUUAACCAGGAAGGUAUCUGAUUUUAAUGUGUUUGGACAUAAUAUAUAUGUUAUUUUAAAGUGUAAUUGGCAUUUAUUAACUUUAAUAUACUGUAUUUUAAUUAAUCUUGACUGUAAAAUCUACUCCUGUAUUUUUACAGUUUUUGUAUGUAGUACUGUGAUAUGGUUAUUUACUGUAAUUUUUGGAAACUUAGCUGCCAGUACUUUUACAGUUUUUUUACAGUUUUUUUUAGUGCUGUUCUCAUAUAUCCCACAGAAUUCUGACAGAGAGACCGGAUUGUUUAUCUCACAUUCUCACUUUGUACAAUAAACAUCCUCAUACCUA